UACGAGGGGUGCAAGCGUUGCUCGGAAUUAUUGGGCGUAAAGGGUAGGUAGGUGGUCUCAUUUGUCUGGGGUGAAAGCCUUGAGCUUAACUCAAGAAGUGCCCCGGAAACGGUGAGACUGGAGUCCUGGAGAGGGUCGUGGAAUUCCCGGUGUAGCGGUGAAAUGCGUAGAGAUCGGGAGGAACACCAGUGGCGCAGGCGGCUCUCUGGGUCGGCCCUGACGCUGAGGCGCGAAAGCGUGGGGAGCGAACGGG
rnacentral:rRNA from 1 species